rnacentral:rRNA from 1 species
CCUACGGGUGGCUGCAGUGGGGAAUAUUGGACAAUGGGCGCAAGCCUGAUCCAGCCAUGCCGCGUGAGUGAUGAAGGCCCUAGGGUUGUAAAGCUCUUUCGCCAGGGACGAUAAUGACGGUACCUGGAUAAGAAGCCCCGGCUAACUUCGUGCCAGCAGCCGCGGUAAUACGAAGGGGGCUAGCGUUGUUCGGAAUCACUGGGCGUAAAGCGCACGUAGGCGGAUUUUUAAGUCAGGGGUGAAAUCCCGAGGAUCAACCUCGGAACGGCCGUUGAUACGGGGAGUCUAGAGUCCGGGAGAGGGGAGUGGAACUGCGAGUGUAGAGGUGAAAGUCGUAGAGAUUCGCAAGAACACCAGUGGCGAAGGCGGCUCACGGGCCCGGAACUGACGCUGAGGUGCGAAAGCGUGGGGAGCAAACAGGAUUAGAUACCCUUGUAGUC